UAAAUUAAAUUUACUUUUUUAAAAAUUAUUUUUCACUUAUUUCAAACUUCUAUUACUAUACUAUUUCACUAUAAAUCAAUAUAUUUUUUCUAUUAAAAUACUUUAACCCCCAUUAUCCAUAUUUUAAUAUUAAAAUUAUUUUUAUUAAAUUUAUAUUAUUAAUUUUUAAUUUAU
rnacentral:rRNA from 1 species